GAUGAACGCUGGCGGCGUGCUUAACACAUGCAAGUCGAACGAGAAGUGAAGACGGAAACCUUCGGGCGGAAGGCUUUAUUUCGAGUGGCGGACGGGUGAGUAACGCGUGGGUAACCUGCCUCAUACAGGGGGAUAACAGUUGGAAACGACUGUUAAUACCGCAUAAGACCACAGCACCGCAUGGUGCGGGGGUAAAAACUCCGGUGGUAUGAGAUGGACCCGCGUUCGAUUAGCCAGUUGGCGGGGUAACGGCCCACCAAAGCGACGAUCGAUAGCCGAUCUGAGAGGAUGACCGGCCACAUUGGGACUGAGACACGGCCCAAACUCCUACGGGAGGCAGCAGUGGGGAAUAUUGCAGAAUGGGGGAGACCCUGAUGCAGCGACGCAGCGUGAGUGAAGAAGUAGUUCGGUAUGUAAAGCUCUAUCAGCAGGAAAGAAAAUGACGGUACCUGGGUAAGAAGCCCCGGCUAACUACGUG
rnacentral:rRNA from 1 species